AUACGGAGGGUGCGAGCGUUAAUCGGAAUUACUGGGCGUAAAGCGUACGUAGGCGGUUGGUUAAGUUAGAUGUGAAAGCCCCGGGCUUAACCUGGGAACUGCAUUUAAAACUGGCGAACUAGAGUUGAGUAGAGGGGAGUGGAAUUUCAGGUGUAGCGGUGUAAUGCGUAGAGAUCUGAAGGAACACCAGUGGCGAAGGCGACUCCCUGGACUCGAACUGACGCUGAGGUACGAAAGCGUGGGUAGCAAACGGGAUUAGAAACCCUAGUAGUCC
rnacentral:rRNA from 1 species